GUACAAGAGACAUUCUGGCUGUUCUCCUGUACAUUUCCUGCAAAGACCUAAUGAGAUAUGAUUACUCCAUCCUACAGCUUUCACAAUCAACAGUGUCGACAUGAAGAGCCUGCCGGACUGGACGGUGCAAAAUGGGAAGAACCUGACCCUGCAGUGCUUCGCGGAUGUCAGCACCACCUCUCACGUCAAGCCUCAGCACCAGAUGCUGUUCUAUAAGGAUGACGUGCUGUUUUACAACAUCUCCUCCAUGAAGAGCACAGAGAGUUAUUUUAUUCCUGAAGUCCGGAUCUAUGACUCAGGGACAUAUAAAUGUACUGUGAUUGUGAACAACAAAGAGAAAACCACAGCAGAGUACCAGGUGUUGGUGGAAGGUGAGUCCUUGGAACUGAGCACAGGCAAGCAGAUGGAGCAUAGCACACAGUGGCGUGAAUAACAGCUGUGAAUGAAUAGUGACACUGGACUUAACUCUCCACCCAUCACCCUCUCAUUCAUCUGCCUGGCAUUUUCCUUACCUGAAUACGUAAGCACUAGACAUAUUCCCAAUAGGCCAGGCCCUUCCUUCCUUCCUUCCUUCCUUCCUUCCUUCCUUCCUUCCUUCCUUCCUUCCUUCCUUUCUUUCUUUGAUGGAGUCUCACUCUGUCACCCAGUCUGGAGUGC
rnacentral:sRNA from 1 species